GACAACACUCUGCCCUGUCAGGGGGAGGACAACACUCUGCCCUGUCAGGGGGAGGACAACACUCUGCCCUGUCAGGGGGAGGACAACACUCUGCCCUGUCAGGGGGAGGACAACACUCUGCCCUGUCAGGGGGACAACACUGCCCUGUGAACCAUCUUUUUCAAACAUUGAAAUCUAAUUGAAUUCAAAACCUCAUAUUACAUAAUAGUUUAUUGGUCGUGUGAGAGGACCGACAUGUUAGUCACAAUCAUAUAGCAGGAAGGAGAGGGAAGCCAGGAGAAAUGGGUUUCCAUGGGACACUGGUUUACAAGUGCUGAUACAAGCAGGGAGAUGGAUAGGGGGUUGCAAGGUGAGGUACAGGAAAGGCAAGGGUUAAAGGGGGUGGAGUCAAUGAUGCUGUUGGAACACAGUGGGGAGUAUUUGAAAUUACAUCUAUUAUAGGAUUGGUGAAUCAUAAGCAACUUUAACUGAUAGAAUAAGCCAAUGUGUUACCAUCGGGCCAAUCACUGCUCCAGUGUGAUACCAUCGGGCCAAUCACUGCUCCAGUGUGUUACCAUCGGGCCACUCACUGCUCCAGUGUGUUACCAUCGGGCCACUCACUGCUCCAAUGUGUUACCAUCGGGCCACUCACUGCUCCAAUGUGUUACCAUCGGGCCAAUCAGCCAAUCACUGCUCCAGUGUGUUACCAUCGGGCCACUCACUGCUCCAGUGUGUUACCAUCGGGCCACUCACUGCUCCAGUGUGUUACCAUCGGGCCAAUCACGGCUCCAUGUGUUACCAUCGGGCCAAUCACUGCUCCAGUGUGUUACCAUCGGGCCACUCACUGCUCCAGUGUGUUACCAUCGGGCCAAUCAGCCAAUCACUGCUCCAGUGUGUUACCAUCGGGCCAAUCACUGCUCCAUGUGUUACCAUCGGGCCAAUCACUGCUCCAGUGUGUUACCAUCGGGCCAAUCACUGCUCCAAUGUGUUACCAUCGGGCCACUCACUGCUCCAAUGUGUUACCAUCGGGCCAAUCACUGCUCCAGUGUGUUACCAUCGGGCCAAUCAGCCAAUCACUGCUCCAUUGUGUUACCAUCGGGCCAAUCACGGCUCCAUGUGUUACCAUCGGGCCAAUCACUGCUCCAGUGUGUUACCAUCGGGCCAAUCACUGCUCCAUGUGUUACCAUCGGGCCAAUCACUGCUCCAAUGUGUUACCAUCGGGCCAAUCACUGCUCCAGUGUGUUACCAUCGGGCCAAUCACUGCUCCAGUGUGUUACCAUCAGGCCAAUCACUGGACGCUACACUCCAGGCUCCAGUGUCUGUUUUAACCAGUGACAACACAUCUGGAAGAGACCGUCACGCGCUAAUCUGUGAGGUCAAAAGGUCAGCCAUACAACCCCUCCAUCUGUGCAGGUGGCCAAACAAAUUCUUCUCAGUAACUUAACAUGUCCUGGGACCUGCUGAUAUCUGAAGGUGUGUUUAGUAGAUAUAGAUAUAUAUUUGUUAUGUUCCCAAACAAAUAGUUUGGUGAGAUGUUUUUAAUGUGACAAUAUUUAGAGGAUAUGAACGAGUUUAAACAUCAAAAUAAUUUGAACUUGGUCUUGUCCACGUAGGGGUGAUUUAAAAAAACAAACAUAUACAGACAUGCAUGUAGACCUAAAAUCAACAGAAGUGGAUUUUUG
ensembl:lncRNA